AUGCUUGUAAAGCAAGGCUGGAGGCUACUGCAAGAACCUGAUUCCUUGAGUGCGAGGAUCCUACGUGCAGUUUACUAUCCGGAUGGAGAUGUUCUUACAACUGAACUUGGUAGUCAUCCAUCCCAAGGUCUAAUCAGUAGGGUGGGGGAUGGCCAAAAUAUCAAGAUAUGGAAUGAUAACUGGCUACCGAGGGACAAUCUUUUAAGAGCUCUCCAUCCAAAAUCUGCUGACCCUCCAGAAUAUGUGUGCGAGUUGAUAGAUGCUGCAACAAAAUCCUGGGACUUCUAUAAGGUUAAUGAUCAUUUUUAGCCUCUGGACGCAGAGGUCGUUCUGAAGAUUCCGCUGAGCACAAGGAACGCUACAGACAGUUGGGUGUGGCACUACGAGCGGGCUGGUAUCUUCUCCGUCCGCUCGGCCUACAGACUUUUGGUUGACACGAAAAGAAGGAGAGAAAAUUGGCUUGAGGGCCGGUCAACUACGUCGGACUUGUCUGCUACUCAAGGGGAAUGGAAGAUUCUUUGGAGGGUAAAGGUUCCAAGUGCAGUGAAACAUUUUGCUUGGCGUUUGGCUAUGAACUCUGUCCCUACAGAAUCCGUUCGACACCAUCGCAACAUGGCUGACACGGCGGUCUCCCUGAUCUGCAACAGAGCGGAGGAUUCUUGGCGGCCCGCUCUACUGGACUGCAACAUGGCAAAAUGUGUAUGGGCUCUCAUGGAUGACCAACUGGUU
rnacentral:rRNA from 1 species